rnacentral:rRNA from 1 species
AUGAACGCUAGCUACAGGCUUAACACAUGCAAGUCGAGGGGCAGCAUUUUAGUUUGCUUGCAAACUAAAGAUGGCGACCGGCGCACGGGUGAGUAACACGUAUCCAACCUGCCGAUAACUCGGGGAUAGCCUUUCGAAAGAAAGAUUAAUAUCCGAUGGUAUAUUAAAACCGCAUGGUUUUACUAUUAAAGAAUUUCGGUUAUCGAUGGGGAUGCGUUCCAUUAGUUUGUUGGCGGGGUAACGGCCCACCAAGACUACGAUGGAUAGGGGUUCUGAGAGGAAGGUCCCCCACAUUGGAACUGAGACACGGUCCAAACUCCUACGGGAGGCAGCAGUGAGGAAUAUUGGUCAAUGGACGAGAGUCUGAACCAGCCAAGUAGCGUGAAGGAUGACUGCCCUAUGGGUUGUAAACUUCUUUUAUAUGGGAAUAAAGUAUUCCACGUGUGGAAUUUUGUAUGUACCAUAUGAAUAAGGAUCGGCUAACUCCGUGCCAGCAGCCGCGGUAAUACGGAGGAUCCGAGCGUUAUCCGGAUUUAUUGGGUUUAAAGGGAGCGUAGGUGGAUUGUUAAGUCAGUUGUGAAAGUUUGCGGCUCAACCGUAAAAUUGCAGUUGAAACUGGCAGUCUUGAGUACAGUAGAGGUGGGCGGAAUUCGUGGUGUAGCGGUGAAAUGCUUAGAUAUCACGAAGAACUCCGAUUGCGAAGGCAGCUCACUAGACUGCAACUGACACUGAUGCUCGAAAGUGUGGGUAUCAAACAGGAUUAGAUACCCUGGUAGUCCACACAGUAAACGAUGAAUACUCGCUGUUUGCGAUAUACAGUAAGCGGCCAAGCGAAAGCAUUAAGUAUUCCACCUGGGGAGUACGCCGGCAACGGUGAAACUCAAAGGAAUUGACGGGGGCCCGCACAAGCGGAGGAACAUGUGGUUUAAUUCGAUGAUACGCGAGGAACCUUACCCGGGCUUAAAUUGCAGAUGAAUUACGGUGAAAGCCGUAAGCCGCAAGGCAUCUGUGAAGGUGCUGCAUGGUUGUCGUCAGCUCGUGCCGUGAGGUGUCGGCUUAAGUGCCAUAACGAGCGCAACCCUUAUCUUUAGUUACUAACAGGUCAUGCUGAGGACUCUAGAGAGACUGCCGUCGUAAGAUGUGAGGAAGGUGGGGAUGACGUCAAAUCAGCACGGCCCUUACGUCCGGGGCUACACACGUGUUACAAUGGGGGGUACAGAAGGCAGCUACCUGGUGACAGGAUGCUAAUCCCAAAAACCUCUCUCAGUUCGGAUCGAAGUCUGCAACCCGACUUCGUGAAGCUGGAUUCGCUAGUAAUCGCGCAUCAGCCAUGGCGCGGUGAAUACGUUCCCGGGCCUUGUACACACCGCCCGUCAAGCCAUGAAAGCCGGGGGUACCUGAAGUACGUAACCGCAAGGAGCGUCCUAGGGUAAAACUGGUAAUUGGGGCU